GUGAAAUUGAACUCGCUGUGAAGAUGCAGUGUACCCGCGGCAAGACGGAAAGACCCCGUGAACCUUUACUAUAGCUUGACACUGAACAUUGAGCCUUGAUGUGUAGGAUAGGUGGGAGGCUUUGAAGCGUGGACGCCAGUCUGCGUGGAGCCAACCUUGAAAUACCACCCUUUAAUGUUUGAUGUUCUAACGUGGACCCGUAAUCCGGGUUGCGGACAGUGUCUGGUGGGUAGUUUGACUGGGGCGGUCUCCUCCUAAAGAGUAACGGAGGAG
rnacentral:rRNA from 1 species